UGCGCGUGCUACACUGCAGUCGAACGAUGAUCCCGCUUGCUGGGGGAUUAGUGGCGAACGGGUGAGUAACACGUGAGUAACCUGCCCUUGACUCUGGGAUAAGCCUGGGAAACUGGGUCUAAUACCGGAUACGACCAUCUGGCGCAUGUCAUGGUGGUGGAAAGCUUUUGUGGUUUUGGAUGGACUCGCGGCCUAUCAGCUUGUUGGUGGGGUAAUGGCCUACCAAGGCGACGACGGGUAGCCGGCCUGAGAGGGUGACCGGCCACACUGGGACUGAGACACGGCCCAGACUCCUACGGGAGGCAGCAGUGGGGAAUAUUGCACAAUGGGCGCAAGCCUGAUGCAGCGACGCCGCGUGAGGGAUGACGGCCUUCGGGUUGUAAACCUCUUUCAGUAGGGAAGAAGCGAAAGUGACGGUACCUGCAGAAGAAGCGCCGGCUAACUACGUGCCAGCAGCCGCGGUAAUACGUAGGGCGCAAGCGUUAUCCGGAAUUAUUGGGCGUAAAGAGCUCGUAGGCGGUUUGUCGCGUCUGCUGUGAAAGACCGGGGCUCAACUCCGGUUCUGCAGUGGGUACGGGCAGACUAGAGUGCAGUANGGGAGACUGGAAUUCCUGGUGUAGCGGUGAAAUGCGCAUAUAUCAGGAGGAACACGAUGGCGAAAGCAGGUCUCUGGGCUGUA
rnacentral:rRNA from 1 species